rnacentral:tRNA from 2 species
GCCGAAGUGGCGGAAUUGGAAGACGCGCUAGCUUGAGGGGCUAGUGGGCUUUACGCUCGUAAGGGUUCGAGUCCCUUCUUCGGCA